UUUAGGCCGAGGGCACGCCUGCCUGGGCGUCACGC
rnacentral:rRNA from 1 species